rnacentral:rRNA from 1 species
AAAAACAUGGCUAUUACGAGAUUAUUUAUAGUCUAACCUGCUCACUGAUAAUAAUUAUUAAAUAGCCGCGGUAUCUUGACCGUGCAAAGGUAGCAUAAUCAUUAGUUUCUUAAUUAGAAACUCGUAUGAAUGGUUGGACAAAGAAGAAACUGUCUCUUAUAUUAUUAUUGAAUUUAACUUUUAAGUGAAAAGGCUUAAAUAUUCUAGAGGGACGAUAAGACCCUAUAAAGCUUUAUAAAUUUAAGGAUUUUGUAUAUUUUUCUAUAAAAAUAAAAUCUGUAAAGUUUAUUUGGUUGGGGCGACAAUGGUAUAAAAGAAAUAACUGCUAUUAAAAUUAACAAUUAUAUUUGGUUUCUAAAUAAUUGAUCCUUUUUAAGGAUUUUAAAAUCAAGUUACUUUAGGGAUAACAGCGUUAUUUUUUCUGAGAGUUCUUAUCAAAGAAAAAGUUUGCGACCUCGAUGUUGAAUUAAAAUGUCUUUAUAGUGCAGCAGCUAUAAAAGAAGGUCUGUUCGACCUUUAAUAUUUUACAUGAUUUGAGUUCAGACCGGCGGGAGCCAGGUCGGUUUCUAUCU